rnacentral:tRNA from 1 species
AGAAAAGUAAGCUAAUACAAGCUAAUGGGUUCAUACCCCAUAAAUAGAGUAAACAACUCUCUUCUCUA